UACGAAGGGGGCUAGCGUUGCUCGGAAUUACUGGGCGUAAAGCGCACGUAGGCGGAUUGUUAAGUCGGGGGUGAAAUCCUGGAGCUCAACUCCAGAACUGCCUUCGAUACUGGCGAUCUCGAGUUCGGGAGAGGUGAGUGGAACUGCGAGUGUAGAGGUGAAAUUCGUAGAUAUUCGCAAGAACACCAGUGGCGAAAGGCGGCUCACUGGCCCGAUACUGACGCUGAGGUGCGAAAGCGUGGGGAGCAAACAGG
rnacentral:rRNA from 1 species